CACCAAGCAGGACCCAGAUAUUCCUCGUGCUCAGCUGCUGUGGCAAAGACCAAUGUUUGAUCCAGGUGCCCUCGGGAUACCCUCAGCCUCAAUGGCUACUGCUAUCAGCCAUUUGAUGACGCUCUGUCUUGGUCAGAAGCUUCUGUAACUUGGUUUGUGGCAUGUUGACAUUAGGGGGCCAAGUGGCUAGAAGCAGGGCUGGGGUGGCCAGAUCAGCCAUCACGGGUCACAUGAAAUAGCUCAGGAAGCAGCAGAAUUAGGGGGGCACUGAAUAGGAAGGCAGAACAGAGUGGACAUCUGGAGACAUGGCUCAUACCUGCAGCAGCACCCCCCCCUCCAGCAUUGGCCAGCUUCUCCAGGUCAGAGGAGCCCCAUGGGUCAACAGACCCCUGAAACCACAGCUCAAGAGGCCAUGUAGAGACCCUCCAGUGUGGCGGCCAGAGUCCUGCAACAGUUCCCACCCCUUCAUUUGCCAAUUCGUACCCUAGAGAAGCCUGGGACUCCAUCACCAGGGAAUGUCUUCUGACUGAGGCAUCACCUAGAGGCCUUUUCCUAGGGGUCUGUCUGCUUGUCUUACUCCUGGCUCUUUGCUUUUCUCCUGGAGCUGAUCGCAUAGAUGAGCACCCCGACCCAUCUCAC